AGUGAACGCUGGCGGCGUGCCUAAUACAUGCAAGUCGAACGAUGAAGUCUCUAGCUUGCUAGAGAAAGAUUAGUGGCGCACGGGUGAGUAAUGCAUAGGUGAUGUGCCUUUUAGUUUGGGAUAGCCACUAGAAAUGGUGAUUAAUACCAGAUAUUACCCUAAGGGGGAAAGAUUUAUCGCUAAAAGAUCAGCCUAUGUCCUAUCAGCUUGUUGGUGAGGUAAUGGCUCACCAAGGCUAUGACGGGUAUCCGGCCUGAGAGGGUGAACGGACACACUGGAACUGAGACACGGUCCAGACUCCUACGGGAGGCAGCAGUAGGGAAUAUUGCUCAAUGGGCGAAAGCCUGAAGCAGCAACGCCGCGUGGAGGAUGAAGGUUUUAGGAUUGUAAACUCCUUUUGUUAGAGAAGAUAAUGACGGUAUCUAACGAAUAAGCACCGGCUAACUCCGUGCCAGCAGCCGCGGUAAUACGGAGGGUGCAAGCGUUACUCGGAAUCACUGGGCGUAAAGAGUGCGUAGGCGGGAAAAUAAGUCAGAUGUGAAAUCCUAUGGCUUAACCAUAGAACUGCAUUUGAAACUAUUUUUCUAGAGUGUGGGAGAGGUAGGUGGAAUUCUUGGUGUAGGGGUAAAAUCCGUAGAGAUCAAGAGGAAUACUCAUUGCGAAGGCGACCUGCUGGAACAUCACUGACGCUGAUUGCACGAAAGCGUGGGGAGCAAACAGGAUUAGAUACCCUGGUAGUCCACGCCCUAAACGCAUGAAUGCUAGUUGUUGGGGGAGCUUAGUCUCCUCAGUAAUGCAGCUAACGCAUUAAGCAUUCCGCCUGGGGAGUACGGUCGCAAGAUUAAAACUCAAAGGAAUAGACGGGGACCCGCACAAGCGGUGGAGCAUGUGGUUUAAUUCGAAGAUACAUGAAGAACCUUACCUAGGCUUGACAUUGAUGGAAUUUUCUAGAAAUAGAGAAGUGUCUAGCUUGCUAGACCCUGAAAACAGGUGCUGCACGGCUGUCGUCAGCUCGUGUCGUGAGAUGUUGGGUUAAGUCCCGCAACGAGCGCAACCCUCUUUCUUAGUUGCUAACAGAUUAUGCUUGAGCACUCUAAGAAUACUGCCUGCGUAAGCAGGAGGAAGGUGAGGACGACGUCAAGUCAUCAUGGCCCUUACGCCUAGGGCUACACACGUGAUACAAUGGGGUGCACAAAGAGAAGCAAUACCGCGAGGUGGAGCAAAUCUAUAAAACGCCUCUCAGUUCGGAUUGUAGUCUGCAACUCGACUACAUGAAGCUGGAAUCGCUAGUAAUCGCAAAUCAGCCAUGUUGCGGUGAAUACGUUCCCGGGUCU
rnacentral:rRNA from 1 species